UAUUUUAUAUAAUGUGCAGAUGUAUAAUGUGCAGCAACCCAACAGGCACAAAAUGUACUUGGCAGCAACUGAAGAAUGAAAUAUGAAAAUAUACUUCAAAAAGUUACUGAUGGUGUAAUCUGUCUGGUGGCGCCUUCUGCCAUAGGACUUCCAUGCAGUUGAGGAUGAUGAAGAUGCCUUGUCAGCUGCCACAGAGAGGAGCAAUGCUGGAAAUUACAAUGAAGAGGGUCCAUCCACCUCCAAAGCACAACUUACAGCAUUAGCCCAUAAAUUACAAUGAAACUAAGUUGAACUUGCACUGUGAAAUUCAAUGUAAUUUAUACUUGCAGGAAAUAAAGACUUCAUAAAAAGGCAUAUUGUGUCUAUUUGACAUGGGGGAGGUGAUGGGUGAAUCAGAAAUGAUGGUAGCAUAUUGUCUCUGACUGCUCUUCCAU